GUAGGGUUCCUAGCGAGCCCAACCUCCCACCCGUGUUUACUGUACCUUAGUUGCUUCGGCGGGCCCGCCAUUCAUGGCCGCCGGGGGCUCUCAGCCCCGGGCCCGCGCCCGCCGGAGACACCACGAACUCUGUCUGAUCUAGUGAAGUCUGAGUUGAUUGUAUCGCAAUCAGUUAAAACUUUCAACAAUGGAUCUCUUGGUUCCGGCAUCGAUGAAGAACGCAGCGAAAUGCGAUAACUAGUGUGAAUUGCAGAAUUCCGUGAAUCAUCGAGUCUUUGAACGCACAUUGCGCCCCCUGGUAUUCCGGGGGGCAUGCCUGUCCGAGCGUCAUUGCUGCCCAUCAAGCACGGCUUGUGUGUUGGGUCGUCGUCCCCUCUCCGGGGGGGACGGGCCCCAAAGGCAGCGGCGGCACCGCGUCCGAUCCUCGAGCGUAUGGGGCUUUGUCACCCGCUCUGUAGGCCCGGCCGGCGCUUGCCGAACGCAAAUCAAUCUUUUUCCAGGUUGACCUCGGAUCAGGUAGGGAUACCCGCUGAACUUAAGCAUAUCAAUUAAGCGGAGGAA
rnacentral:rRNA from 1 species